UUGCUCCCUGAUGUUAGCGGCGGACGGGUGAGUAACACGUGGGUAACCUGCCUGUAAGACUGGGAUAACUCCGGGAAACCGGGGCUAAUACCGGAUGCUUGUUUGAACCGCAUGGUUCAAACAUAAAAGGUGGCUUCGGCUACCACUUACAGAUGGACCCGCGGCGCAUUAGCUAGUUGGUGAGGUAAUGGCUCACCAAGGCGACGAUGCGUAGCCGACCUGAGAGGGUGAUCGGCCACACUGGGACUGAGACACGGCCCAGACUCCUACGGGAGGCAGCAGUAGGGAAUCUUCCGCAAUGGACGAAAGUCUGACGGAACAACGCCUCGUGAGUGAUGAAGGUUUUCGGAUCGCAAAGCUCUGUUGUUAGGGAAGAACAAGUACCGUUCAAAUAGGGCGGUACCUUGACGGUACCUAACCAGAAAGCCACGGUCUAACUACGUGCCAGCAGCCGCGG
rnacentral:rRNA from 1 species